UACGUAGGGCGCAAGCGUUGUCCGGAAUUAUUGGGCGUAAAGAGCUCGUAGGCGGUUUGUCGCGUCUGCCGUGAAAACCCGAGGCUUAACCUCGUGGCUUGCGGUGGAUACGGGCAGACUAGAGGUAGGUAGGGGAGAAUGGAAUUCCCGGUGUAGCGGUGAAAUGCGCAGAUAUCAGGAGGAACACCGGUGGCGAAGGCGGUUCUCUGGGCAUUACCUGACGCUGAGGAGCGAAAGUGUGGGGAGCGAACAGG
rnacentral:rRNA from 1 species